UGGGGUAUAGCCAAGCGGUAAGGCAAGGGACUUUGACUCCCUGACGCGCUGGUUCGAAUCCAGCUACCCCAG
rnacentral:tRNA from 3 species